AAAGAUUUAUAAUUUUUGGAUAUUGAUGAGGAAUUGAUUUUAAACAGAGUUGAAUGGCGAAAAGGGAUUAGAGCUGACCCCAAGUAAUUUGCAAUUAAGACUUAAUUGUUGCUGUAAUGCUUUUGAUGGAUAAAAGUUAAAAGAGUAUAACUUUUAGAUUGUUGAUAGUUCAAUUUGAAUCCUUGUGGUUUUGGGCUUACAUGAGUCGAGUUUUAGAAUGGGUGUGGUUAUUCCCACUCCAAAUUUCUCAAGUGCACUCCAUUUUAUUUUUUUUAAUGAUGAAAUGGAAAUAUUAGCUAUACUUUAAUAUAUGGUUGACUAGCAAAGUAUGGAUAAUUUAGUCUCUUAAUUAAACAAAAAAUCUGGAGUGGAGUGAAUUUAAGAAAUUUGGAGUGUGAAUUAUCACUCUUUUAGAAUUUUGAUAUUUCCAAGAUUCUAAAGGUAUUACUUACCUUCAAGUCUUUGGUCUGCUAUUUAUGUUGUUCAGAAGAAGCUCUUGCAUGAUGCUUCUUGUUGUGUACAACUAUUGUUGCCAUUCAUGUUAUGCAAGGAAGUGCUAAGUUGUUUCUCUAAUGGUCUAUUUGGUAUUGCAUCUGAAACUAUUUUUUGGAAAGCACUAUUUUAGAUGCUGUUUCAAAAAACAGUUAUAAUUGUUUUUGAGCUUUUCAGGAUUUUUUAUGGCUAAUGCCAAAAUACCUUAAAAACAUUUUAAUUGCUUUUAGUCAACAUUUUUACCGUGUACUUCUCUCAGCAGCAAUGUUAGAUUGAUGAUGAGUUAAUAUAUACUAUUCUAAUUCUAUUGAAUUUUGGUGUUUAAAGCCUGUGAGGGUCAAAUAAAUUUUGGGACUAGUUUUAGCUUUUACUCAUUUCUUCUCUUCUGAGGGUCUCUAAUAUGACAACACAAUGUGCUCGAUUGCUGGACCCUUUAUUUUCAGGGUAUUGGAUUU
rnacentral:misc_RNA from 1 species